rnacentral:lncRNA from 1 species
GACACCGCUGAGGGCAACCAGAGCAGCCAGAUUGAUCCUUUCAAAAAGCUCAUCAAAGGCAACAUUUAAUUAUUUGAUUUGUGUUCAUUGUAAAGGAAGACUCAGGGCUAAGAUCAAGUGUAUUUAUGUUUUACAUAUUUUUGGUUGCCAAACGAACGAAUUGUUACAAUAUUUGAACUAUGAAUCGGAUGGAAAGAAUCGAAAGAUUCUACCACUUCCAGUCUGUCGGGUGGAAUCAUUGUCUUCCCGAAUGGAUUUAAGCUUUGAGAAUAUUGUGACGCUCAGCGCCUGACUUGGCACUUUGCGGGUGAUCUUUUGCAUGUAAAUGAUCGUCUUCUUUUGUAAUUCUGUUCCUGCCAGAAGCUGCUGGCCUGAUUGCCCCCGGCAUUGAUGGAAAUGGGCGUAGUGCCGGACUGCUCCUCUUCGGCUGGGUCAUUGCCGAGCUCCAUUGCCGACUGCCUCGGGUCCGUCUUGAGCUCCACCUCCUCCUGUCUCCUCCAGAUCAUCUGUAUCGUCGGAGAGGACACGCAGCAGUUCCUCAAUGGUUUUGAACCUGUUCUGCGAAGGUAGGUCUUCACCGGAUUCUUCUGUUACUCCCGUCUGCGUUUCUUGCCCUAAUCGUGGCUCUGACAUCGGUUGACUUUCUUGUAUGUUGCGCGCUUCGUAAGAAGGGAUGCUUCCAUCCACGUUACAACGGGCAUCCAUGUUUAAUUGUUGCUCGCAAAGAGCGGUCCUGUCACUCUCGCCACAAGGGGCGGCUGGCUUUGGCUCUGGCUUCGUUCGGAUCUCAACGCCCCAAUAGAUGCUCCCUUCUCCCACUCUUUUCCUCGGAUCUCGAAUGAGAUCUGGGAUCUGACUCGAAAUUUUAUUCCGUUUACCGUCCUUCUUUCUCUUGCGAGAUUUAACUUUCAACUUCUGUUUUACCACCGGAGUUGGAAGUGGAGCAGCAGCAGCAGCAGCGGAAUUCUUGUCCAUUUCGCUGUGAGGUGUAUCCAUCAAGGACGUAUCAUACUGAUACUCCCCAAUCUUCUUUUUUUUAUUCUUAGCUGACUUUUUUUUUGCCAUACUUCUCAAAAGACUUCUCAAACCCGUAAAAUAAAGAUGAGCCCUGGUUGCUACGUUUUUUCAAAGGAACAUUCAAACCUUCAAAUUCACCGUCAGACCCUCGGAGAUAUACCGAAAUAUAACAUUUCAUACGCAAAAUAUACUGUUUAUCUACCGUAAAUCUUAAAUCAUUUACAUCGACUUUGAUUACCAGUUUUUGGGAUUGUCUAAUUCAUCAAUUAAUUUUCCACAAGGUUGGCUUUCACGAUUUUUCUUU